rfam:Puccinia sorghi strain RO10H11247 Scaffold_418, whole genome shotgun sequence.
GACUUGGUAGCCUAUUUGGUAAAGGCAUUACCUCUAGUUUAGUGUCUUAGAUUCUAGUUAAGGUCUCUGGUUCAAAUCCUGCCCAAGUUA